rnacentral:lncRNA from 1 species
GGGGAACUGGUUUCAACUCGCUGCUCCAUUGAUGGGGAGUUUCCUGCUACCCGAAUCCUUUUCUGCAAGGAUGGGAUGGAGGAGUACAGCCUGAAAGCCAUACGGGGUCAACUGAGUUACUCCGUUCUCCUGAAGGUCUCCCAGGGGAACACGGGGAGGUACAUGUGUGGAUACCAGCACAGGGAUGGGAGCAACCGGAUGAGGAGCUCUGCCCUCAGUGCCCCCUGGGACCUGGCCAUCACAGGCACUGCCACCACUCCCAGCACCAGCCCCCAGGAAAAGCCAUCGCCCACAGCCUGUAAAAAGAGAAACCAGAGGCAACAAGACGUGCGCAGCUAUGCAGAGAACACGACCAACGAUGGCCAGG